UAAAGUUGUGGCAGUUAAAAAGCUCGUAGUUGAAUUUCGGAAUCUGUCCGUCGGUCGGGCUUCACUGUCCGUACUGGUGUGGUGGGUUCUUACCUUCUGAAUAACCAGCAUGCCAUUAAUUUGGUGCGUUGGGGAAGCAGGACUAUUACCUUGAAAAAAUUAGAGUGCUCAAAGCAGGCCAGUGCCUGAAUACAUUAGCAUGGAAUAAUAAAAUAGGNCGGCAUGGUUCUAUUUUGUUGGUUUCUAGGAUCACCGUAAUGAUUAAUAGGG
rnacentral:rRNA from 1 species